rnacentral:misc_RNA from 1 species
GAUGAAGAACGCAGCGAAAUGCGAUAAGUAAUGUGAAUUGCAGAAUUCAGUGAAUCAUCGAAUCUUUGAACGCACCUUGCGCCCUUUGGCCAUUCCGAAGGGCAUGCCUGUUUGAGUAUCAUGAACACCGCAACUCUUUAUGGUUUUCCAUGAUGAGCUUGGACUCUGGGGGUUUUGCUGGCUCACAGUCGGCUCCUCUAAAAUGAAUCAGCUUACCAGUGUUUGGUGGGUAUCAUGGGUGUGAUAACUAUCUACGCUUGUGGUUUUUCCACCAGGUAACCUUCAGCAGUGGAGGUUCGCUGGAGCUCAUAGAUGUCUCUCCUCAGUGAGGACAGCCCUUUGAAUGUUUGAUCUCAAAUCAGGUAGGACUACCCGCUGAACUUAAGCAUAUCAAUAAGCGGAGGA